UAGCGUAGGGUCCGAGCGUUUGUCCGGAAGUUACUGGGCGUAAAGAGCUUCGUAGGUGGUUUGUCGCGUUGUUCGUGAAAACUCACAGCUCGAACUGUGGGCGUGCGGGCGAUACGGGACAGACUAGAGUACUGCAGGGGAGACUGGAAUUCCUGGUGUAGCGGUGGAAUGCGCAGAUAUCAGGAGGAACACCGGUGGCGAAGGCGGGUCUCUGGGGCAGUAACUGACGCUGAGGAGCGAAAGCGUGGGGAGCGAACAGG
rnacentral:rRNA from 1 species